UACGUAGGGUGCAAGCGUUGUCCGGAAUUAUUGGGCGUAAAGAGCUCGUAGGCGGUCUGUCGCGUCUGCUGUGAAAACUCGGGGCUUAACCCCGGGCCUGCAGUGGGGUACGGGCAGACUAGAGUGCGGUAGGGGAGACUGGAAUUCCUGGUGUAGCGGUGAAAUGCGCAGAUAUCAGGAGGAACACCGAUGGCGAAGGCAGGUCUCUGGGCAUUAACUGACGCUGAGGAGCGAAAGCAUGGGGAGCGAACAGG
rnacentral:rRNA from 1 species